GACGAACGCUGGCGGCGUGCUUAACACAUGCAAGUCGAACGGAAAGGCCCCUUUGGGGGUACUCGAGUGGCAAACGGGUGAGUAACACGUGAGUAACCUGCCCUUGACUUCGGGAUAACUUCAGGAAACUGGGGCUAAUACCGGAUAGGAAUCCUUGCUGCAUGGUGGGGGUUGGAAAGCUUCGGCGGUUUUGGAUGGACUCGCGGCUUAUCAGCUUGUUGGUGGGGUAGUGGCUUACCAAGGCUUUGACGGGUAGCCGGCCUGAGAGGGCGACCGGCCACAUUGGGACUGAGAUACGGCCCAGACUCCUACGGGAGGCAGCAGUGGGGAAUAUUGCACAAUGGGCGGAAGCCUGAUGCAGCAACGCCGCGUGCGGGAUGACGGCCUUCGGGUUGUAAACCGCUUUCAGCAGGGGCGAAGCUUUUGUGACGGUACCUGCAGAAGAAGCACCGGCUAACUACGUG
rnacentral:rRNA from 1 species